rnacentral:rRNA from 1 species
GUGAACGCUGGCGGUAGGCCUAACACAUGCAAGUCGCACGGCAGCACAGUAAGAGCUUGCUCUUACGGGUGGCGAGUGGCGGACGGGUGAGGAAUACAUCGGAAUCUACUUUUUCGUGGGGGAUAACGUAGGGAAACUUACGCUAAUACCGCAUACGACCUAUGGGUGAAAGCAGGGGAUCUUCGGACCUUGCGCGAUUGAAUGAGCCGAUGUCGGAUUAGUUAGUUGGCGGGGUAAAGGCCCACCAAGGCGACGAUCCGUAGCUGGUCUGAGAGGAUGAUCAGCCACACUGGAACUGAGACACGGUCCAGACUCCUACGGGAGGCAGCAGUGGGGAAUAUUGGACAAUGGGCGCAAGCCUGAUCCAGCCAUACCGCGUGGGUGAAGAAGGCCUUCGGGUUGUAAAGCCCUUUUGUUGGGAAAGAAAAGCAGCAGGUUAAUACCCCGCUGUUCUGACGGUACCCAAAGAAUAAGCACCGGCUAACUUCGUG